GACGAACGCUGGCGGCGUGCUUAACACAUGCAAGUCGAACGAUGAAGCUGAAGCUUUUGUUUUGGUGGAUUAGUGGCGAACGGGUGAGUAAUACGUGAGUAACCUGCCCUUGUCUUUGGGAUAAGCCUGGGAAACUGGGUCUAAUACCGGAUAUUCUGCUUCUGCCGCAUGGUGGGGUUGAAAGAUUUUUUUGGAUGGGAUGGCUCACGGCCUAUCAGCUUGUUGGUGGGUGAUGGCCUACCAAGGCGUCGACGGGUAGCCGGCCUGAGAGGGUGACCGGCCACAUUGGGACUGAGAUACGGCCCAG
rnacentral:rRNA from 1 species